UACGAGUGCCUCAAGCGUUACCCGGAUUCACUGGGCGUAAAGGGUGUGUAGGCGGCAUUGUUAGUCUUUUGUUAAAGCACCGGGCUCGACCCGGGACAGGCAAGAGAAACGGCAAUGCUAGAGGAUAUGAGAGGUCUGUGGAACUCAUGGUGUAGGGGUGAAAUCCGUUGAUAUCAUGGGGAACACCAAAUGCGAAGGCAACAGACUGGCAUACUCCUGACGCUGAGACACGAAAGCGUGGGUAGCGAACGGG
rnacentral:misc_RNA from 1 species